rnacentral:misc_RNA from 1 species
GAGUGGUGUUUGGUCUGUUACGGGUGGUUGGCUCCCUGCUUGAGCAGGCACGAUCAUGCGUACAUUCCUUUUCAAUUGUGUGACAAGGCUUUGUAUAGCCUUGAUUGCAUAUGCGGGUUUACUGUGUUGCAUACCUGAUCCAUGGCAUCGUCUUGAUCAAAUAGUCCAAUUUUUCAUCCGGCAUUCCACUUGUGUAGUGUUGGAUGAACUGUGUAGCAUCUUCUUUGAACCAUCCAUUCGAUUAUUAUUUUUCGUUUGUUUGGCACAUUGAGGGUGACUUGGUCUCUUGAAUAUGGAAGCCAAAGUGGGCAUGGGGUCGUAUGAUCUUUUUAUUGCCCUCGUUGAGCGUUCUCGCUUCUCUUAAACGAUUGCCUUUCACGUAUGGCAUGUCCCAGCGUGUUAGGUUAUGUCGAAGAGGAAUGCUACCUGGUUGAUCCUGCCAGUAGUCAUAU